UACUUAUCAAGAAAGGAGUAGGGACAUGGCCCGUCGAUACCUUAGCAACCUUCACACCCGGUGAAAGGUGCUGCAUCCAUCCUCUGUAAUAGGAGGAAAGAUAAGUC
rnacentral:ncRNA from 1 species